rnacentral:rRNA from 1 species
CCAGCAACGCCGCGUGGUGACGAAGGCCUCGGUCGUAAGCCUUUAUACGGAAGAUGAUGACGGUACCGUAUGAAUAAGCCCCGGCUAACUACGUGC